CGUCGCCUCCCCCUCCGCCCUCUCCCGGCGCGGAAGAGAGGAGCGGGGAGUGAGGAGCCGGGGAGGCGGUGCCGUUUAUAUGGAGACUAGGCUAGGAGCCUGGGAGGAGGAGGAGGAAGAGGAGGAGGAAAGGACCACCCAGCACAUCCUCGUGGUGGUUGCCUCCGCUCCUCCAGCCCUUGGCCCAGGGCUGAUGUCAUCCGCAGCAAAUCAUUUCGCCGGCGGCCCGGAAGCUGGAGGGACGAGGUUCCUAAGUUUCCGGCCAUGGGCUGCUGCUUCCAUUUCCUUGGGCCUGAGAGUGUUGGAUGAAAAGCACCGCAGGAGGCCAAGGAGCUGACUCCGCGGGUGAAGGUGUUUACUGCCAAGCCUGGGAACCGACUCAAUUCAAUCCCCAGGACCCACACAAGGGGAGGAGAGAACAGACCACCACAAAUUGUCCUCAGACCUCCACACACAUGAAGUCAUUCAUUAAAAGAGAAAAGUGCAACCCAAGGGCUGCUUCACUAUGGUGGUCUGUACAGCGAAGUCAUGUCUACGAACCUCUUCACCCAUGCUUUGCAAACCAGAGACACAAUGGUCUUCACCCAUGCUUUGCAAACCAGAGACACGAUGGGCAAUGGGGACUGCUACUUUGUACCUCUGUGACGUCAGGCAAGUAAUUGUGGUUCUUCUUCUUCUUCUUCUUCUUCUUCUUCUUCUUCUUCUUCUUCUUCUUCUUCUUCUUCUUCUUCUUCUUCUUUUUUAAUGUUCAGUCCCUUUGUUGCAAACGUGGGAAGAAUCAGAACUUUGCAACUGUGAGGGAAGAGUGACUGAUAGAGACUUCAGGAGCUCUUAAUCCAGUGGAUGGAACACAGUAAGCAACCAAGGCAUGGUUGAAUAAAUGCCGUCCCCACACCCAUUUCCUUAGACAGCGGAGUCAACGUAGCUUUACAAAGUGUACAGGUGACUCCACCAAUACCUCUGGGAGAAAAACAAAAACCAAAACAACAACAACAACAAAAACCCAGCAUAUUCAGCCACUUCUCUAUACUAGAAAAGUCCCCACCCCGAAGAAAAACGAGGCAGUUCUAAAGAAAAAGAAAAGUAACCUCUAAGGGAGCCUGCCUGUAUCCCCAGCUAUCUGGGACCUCACCUAAGUGUCCCAAAGGCACUGCACACUGGGCAUGCUCCAGACACAAAUCAUCUCUACCCUCUAGACCUGAGCGCUCAUGUCUCCUGUUCCAUUGGACAGUAGCGCCAUCCGUCCCACUGCGUAAGCCGGAAACCUCACAGACGUCUUGGAUUCUUCCCUGAGCCUUACUUAGCUGCGUGUUCAGCCAGCCCUGCAUGGAGUCUGGUCAGUUUCACCUUCACCUUCUCGAUGCCUCCUCAACCAUCCACUUCUCUCCAUUAUCACAACCCUAGCCCUCACCGUUAUGAGAGGUACUAUAUAUAGGUUAAAAAAAGUUCUGGAGUAAAAGUUCCCCUCAUCCAGACAUGCUGGUGAUAAACCCAUGGUUUAGAGUAUCCUCUGCUACUUAUUCCCCAAGGCCAUAAUUUUUUAGCUGUGUGACCUUGGGCAAGGUGCUUAUGCACUCUGUCCUGGUCUUUUCUUGUAUGUAGUGCCAAUGGGUACCAGCUUCCUGGCAGGGUGCUAAUAGGGUUUUUGUUCAUUUGCUGCCAAGCUGGGCAUGAAACCCAGGGUUGUGCACGUGGUAGGCAGGCACUCUCACCAGUUCAGGCUCCAUCCCCACCCAAGGGGAUAAGAGUACAAGUGCUUGUAAGUGUCUUGUAUGUAUGUAGUAAGCACUCAAUAUAGGUCAAUUGAUGGUUUAUUGUUAUUUGCCAUUCAGUAUAGACAAUUCCAAACGUGUACAAAUUAGACAAGUUCAUGUAAGAUUAUAAUUAUUGGGAAUGAUGUUUUUUAAUAGUUUGCUUAUUUAAGUCAAGGUCAGAAUAAGAUCUAUAUACUUAAAUUAACCAGUUGUUUGUUUGUUUGUUUGGUUGGUUGGUUGGUUUGAGACAGGAUCUCUCUAUGUAGCCCUGGCUGUCCUAGAACUCACUAUGUAGACCAGGCUGGCCUUGAACUCACAGAGUCUGCCUGCCUCUGCCUCCAGAGUGCUAAGAUUAAAGACCUGUGCCACCACACCCUGUUCAGAGUGUUAAUCUUUACUCUGUGUGCCCUGACUCUUCUUGAUUUCCCUGUGAUGUUUUUGUUGAAACAUUUAUCACCAAGAGUUUCACAGUCUGAAUUUUGCUGGGUGCAUGAAUGUUUUGUUACUGAAUACCUCUGAAUAUCUCCUGAAAGUCUUGUGUCGUAGGGAGAUCUGAGAGCUUGAUCGGAGGGAUGGGGUAGCCUAGUGGGUGGACUGCUGCCCUACCAUGAGUGAGGCCCUGCAUUUGAUCCCUGUAAUCCUAGCUCUUGGAAGCUAGAAGGAAGAGACUGGGAAGGCCAAGGUCAUGCUCAGCUCUGCAGCAAGUCGGAGGCCAGCCUGAGCUGUAUGAGACCUUGUCUCUAAGUCAUUUAAUUAAUUAAAAGAUUGGCCAAAUCUGAGCUUUUUGCAACUAUACUUCAUAGAUGAUAAUGGUUUCAUUGUAUGAUUUUCAUUAGGUCGUUACCUAAUCCAUUAUUUAUUAAGAAUUUGAAAAUUCUAAUAUUUUAUUAUUUACUCGACAGCAAGGAGGCAUCAGUUAGGAGAAUUCUUACCUUGUCAGCUGGUUAACCUAAGAUACAUUCUGUACCAGAAAACAAAAGACAAACACAUGACUCUUUUAUUUACUAAUUUUCAACAUCCAUUCAUUCCAUACCGUUCUCCCAAAGUGACUGAUAUUUUUUCUCUCCUUAAGAUCUAACAUGGAUCUGUUAUUCAUAUUGAUGUUUUCAUUUCCCCUCCAUGGCCAGGAGUAUUCGGAAUACUUCCCAUCUGCCUUGUAUUUACCCACAGAACCAGGAUUUAUCCAUUUCUCUAAGGAACCUACAUCACUUAAGUAAAAAAUAGGAUUUAGAGCCGAUAAUCUUGCCUGAAGGUCUCUGCCGUCUUGGUCAUUGUUUCUAGAUAUUUUCAGUAAACACAAAUGAAGAAUCUUUUCUUUUUCUUUUUUCAAGAUGAAAGACGCGAUGGGUUGACAAUGUCAGUGGUCACUCAGGUCAAGGCCACAGGGGUUUGGCUUGUCCUUUGUCUUUGUCCUGCACCUGGAAUUCCUGUUCUCCAAGACAGCAAGGACAGGCUUAGUGCAGGGAGCCGCUCAUUUUCUCUGCCUUAUACUCCAGUAGCAAUACCAUAAAAAAUGCAACACUUUUGCCAACUGUAGGGUUACCUGAAAGACCAUUUCAAUGUUGUUUUUUUUUUUUUUUUUUUUUUUUUUUUUGCAAUUAUUUUCGUUCUUAGCUUGUAUCACACUAGAAAACCAAGACUCUCAGUCAUCGGGCACUGGGGAUGACGGUCCCUUUGUGCUCUCCGUCAUUAUGAACACAGCACUGUUGGGGCAGCGGCAAGAUAGCAAUAUCAACAGGAUUACCGAAAACAGCUUGCAAUUUCUUUUUGCAAUUUCUUUUUGCAAUAGCUAUCUCCCCAAGGCAUACAGUUUUAUGCAGUCUAAUUAAUUAAUUCCUUUUUAUAGGAUGAUGCCAUUAACUCAAUACAUAGAUUCAUUGGUUUCAUUUGCAGUAUUUCUGAGUUGAUUUUUAAAUUUAAUUUUGUCUUAUGAUUAUGAAUGUAUGGUUUCAAGGUCAAAUUUAUAAGACAAUUUUUGUCCAGAUGACUUCAGUCUCUACUUAUAUUCCCUCCACCAUGCUCCCUGACUUUUUCUAGAAGCACAUCCCCCUACUCGCUACCCAUUGCCUGGGCUUAUUUAGUAUUUCCUUUUAAAAAGGCAAACACAGGGCUGAGGGUGUGGCUCCUUGGCAAGCACAUACAUACUCAGCAUGCACUAGGCCCUGGGCUCCGUCUCCAGCACCAAAAAGAAACAGUAGCUACAUACGACCUAAUAAUAUAUCCCGGUGAGAACUCUAUAAUGUAUAUAUGUGUAAUCCUCAUUCGUUUUUAUUGCUGCAUAGCAGUAACCCACUGUGUUUAUAACCUACUGAUGGUGGACAUUUGAACCAUCUCUAACUUGACUUAUAUUAUAAAUAAUAGCUGCUUUUCUCCUUGCUGUGGCAAAAGCAGCUUGCAGAAAGCAGCUUCUGCAAGGCGGGGUAACAAGAGCAAGCUCAGCUGUGGUGGCAAGAGCCUGAGCUAGCCAGCCCUGUGCGUCCACCGUGAGGAAGGAGAGAAAGGGGAUUGCUCGAACUCUGUUCCGCUUCUCCGUUUUCUUUUUCCUUCAUUGUGGGACUCCCGCCAGUGAGAUGGUGCUGUCCGCGUUCAAGGCGGGUCUUUUCUGUUCAGUUAAAACUCCAUGAAAGUGCCCGUAAGGUCAUGCCAAAAACGUUGUCAAAGGGAUUCUGAAUCCUGUCAAGCUAACAGUGAAUCUUAGUCACCACAGUAGUUAUUAGCAUUGUUUUCUCCCUUUGUAACAACUGGGUCACGUGACUGGUCCCCACAUUGUUUAUUCUGACCCUCAGCCAGUUUGUGAUUCUUACCACAAGGAGAAUGAUCUUACCUGAUUGGUCAUUUUAUUCCACUCACACUUGAAGUCUCAUAUUGACUUCAGGAUAAAAACCAAACAACAACAACAACUACUACUACUAUUAUACCUUCUUCUGGUUUUAUGCUUUUUUUUUUUCUUUUCAGAGUCUCACUAUGUAGCCCUGGCUAUCCUAAAACUCCCUAUGUAGACCAGGUUAACCAGAAACUCAGAGAUCCACCUACCUCUGCCUCCCUAGUGCUGGGAUUAAAGGCCUGUGACACCAUGCCCAGCCCCAAACCAAACUUCUUAACAUGGCCCCUAGAAAAGUCUAGCCCCAGCUUGAUGUGGGAUGGCCUUCUGGAUGCUGUGAAUAUGUGUUGCUCUCAUUGGUUGAUAAAUAAAGCUGCUUUGGCCUAUGGCAAGGCAGAAUAGAGCCAGAUGGGAAAUCCAAGGGAGAGACAGGAGAAGAAGGGUGGAGUCGGGGAGACGCCAUCCAGGCUCCCAAGGAGCAACCUGCCAGCAGACUAGUAAUGCCACAGCCACGUGGCAAUAGUUAGAUUAAUAGAAAUGGGUUAAUUUAAAUGUAAGAGCUAGCUAGUAAUAAGCCUGAGCUAUUGGCCAAACAUUUAUAAUUAAUAUUAAGCCUCUGGGUGAUUAUUUUAAAAGCAGUUGCAGGACUGGGUGGGACAGAAAAGCCUCCAUUUACACCAGCUUAUUUCCUGUGGGCAGCCCCUAACCCAGCUGACGACUCUUGUUUUUCAGCCUCAGCCACAAGAGCCCAUGUUCAGCCUCUCCUUCCUCCCCUUCUUUUCCCCGGCCCUGACUAGUCCACUGUCCUAGUUAAUAUGGCCUAAUCCUACAUGUAUCACUCAGCUAUCGCUCAGCUAUGUAAGGCCUCUCAAGCUAACUAUUUAUAACUACUCAGUUGUCUUCAGUACUUAUCAUUAUCACCUAUAUAAGUGAUUUCUAAACUUUGUUUGUCUUCUCUAUUAGACUCUGUGCUCUAUAUAGUGAAGGCCAUAUCUUCAUACCUAGUGCACUCAUGUGUACACACACACACACACACACACAGCAGCUCACCUCAGUAUUCAUAGUGCCCCACAUAGGGUCUGUGUACGUUUAGUAGUUGAGGAGCCUCUCUGAUAACAAAAUGACUGUGUCUGUGAGUUGUGUUACUGUGCAAAGCAUUUUGAUUGCAUGGCCUUGAGUUAAUCUCCACCAGCCUCCUAAGCUUGGGUUUUGUUGUUGUUUUGUUUUGUGUUUUUAAGAAGGAAUAAAAAAAGCUGAAUGGAUAGGAACACGGGGGAGGAGCUGGGAAAACUUGGAAGAGGGAAAAGACUAUUCUCCAAAUGUGUUUUAUGAAAUUCUCAAAGAACAAAUAAAAACAUUCUUUAAAAUUAAAAUGAUUCUAGGGUGUCAUUUAAGGCCACUUUUAGCAGUAAGGACGUAGCCUGUGUUAAUUCAGCAUUGGUUUGCCUUGCCUUUCCAAAUUCUAAGCUAGGGCUAUAGAAAACAGCAAAGCUUGGGAAGAAACAAGGAAUUAGGGAAAUGAUUUCUAAUGGAUGAGCUAUUAGAGACAAUUUUAAUAUGUGCUGUGUCAUUGGCAGGGCCAUUUACGUUCUUUGUGCAGGGUACUUCUGCAAACUCAGCGCUUGUAACUCUCAGCUUCAGGGAAGUAGCUUAUACUCACUCCUGUUUGAUUAUGCUUGCCUUGGAAAUUGCCUCUUCUUAGGGUAAAAUACUGGGGGGGUGGGAUAUAUCACCUUAGGAGGAACUGUGAUCAAAUCCCUUCCAGCUGCAUGAGCUGGUCCCUCCCAUUACCCUUCAGCAGCCAGUGAAUGAACCAUAUCAAUCCCUCCGACUGGAGAGAGCACAAAAUGCAGGUUCUCCCACUGUGUUAGUCAGCAACUGUGUGUGUGUAUAUGUAUGUCAACAUAUAUGUGUAGUUUUAUGUACAUAGACAAGUUUAUACGCAUGUAUACACAGCUCGUCCCCCAAGUCAAUAAUAUUUUCCAUAUGGUU